AUAUCAAUAAGCGGAGGAAAAGAAACUAACAAGGAUUCCCCUAGUAACGGCGAGUGAAGCGGGAAGAGCUCAAAUUUAAAAUCUGGUUUGCUUUGCAAAUCCGAGUUGUAGUCUGAAGAAACGUUUUCCAUGAAAGCUGAGGCACAAGUCCUUUGGAACAGGGCAUCAUAGAGGGUGAGAAUCCCGUCCAUGGUCUCAAGCCUUUCAUUUUGUGAUACGUUUUCUAAGAGUCAGGUUGUUUGGGAAUGCAGCCUAAAAUGGGUGGUAAAUUUCAUCUAAAGCUAAAUAUUGGCGAGAGACCGAUAGCGAACAAGUACCGUGAGGGAAAGAUGAAAAGAACUUUGAAAAGAGAGUUAAAAAGUACGUGAAAUUGUUAAAAGGGAAACGAUUGAAGUCAGUCGCGUCUACUUGGACUCAGCCUUACCUCGGUUUGGUGCAUUUCCUUGUGGACGGGCCAGUGUCCAUGUUGAUUGCUGGAAAAGGUUCAGGGGAAUGUGGCUCUUUUAGAGUGUUAUAGCCUCUGUUCAUAUACAGUAGUUGAUAUGGAGUGAUACAGCAUGCUUCGGCGGUGCUUGUACUGGCAUAAUGGCUUUAAACGA
rnacentral:rRNA from 1 species